rnacentral:rRNA from 1 species
AACCUCCGCAAUGUGAGAAAUCGCGACGGGGGGAUCCCAAGUGCCAUUCUUAACGGGAUGGCUUUUCAUUAGUGUAAAGAGCUUUUGGAAUAAGGGCUGGGCAAGACCGGUGCCAGCCGCCGCGGUAACACCGGCAGCUCUAGUGGUAGCAGUUUUUAUUGGGCCUAAAGCGUCCGUAGCCGGUUUAAUAAGUCUCUGGUGAAAUCCUGUAGCUUAACUGUGGGAAUUGCUGGAGAUACUAUUAGACUUGAGACCGGGAGAGGUUAGAGGUGCUCCCAGGGUAGAGGUGAAAUUCUGUAAUCCUGGGAGGACCGCCUGUUGCGAAGGCGUCUAACUGGAACGGUUCUGACGGUGAGGGACGAAAGUUAGGGGCGCGAACCGGAUUAGAUACCCGGGUAGUCCUAACCGUAAACGAUGCGGACUUGGUGUUGGGGUGGCUUUGAGCUGCUCCAGUGCCGAAGGGAAGCUGUUAAGUCCGCCGCCUGGGAAGUACGGUCGCAAGACUGAAACUUAAGGAAUU